UACAGAGGGGGCAAGCGUUAUUCGGAAUUAUUGGGCGUAAAGGGCGCGUAGGCGGCUUUGCAAGUGGCGGGUGAAAUCCCUCGGCUUAACCGAGGAACUGCCUGUCAAACUGCAUGGCUUGAGACCAGGAGAGGUGAGUGGAAUUCCCAGUGUAGCGGUGAAAUGCGUAGAUAUUGGGAGGAACACCAGUGGCGAAGGCGGCUCACUGGACUGGUACUGACGCUGAGGCGGCGAAAGCGUGGGGAGCGAACGAGGA
rnacentral:rRNA from 1 species